rnacentral:lncRNA from 1 species
UUGGUGUUACAUGGAGCAGCAGCACAGUCAAGCAGGGAACAGAUCACGUAAAGCCCUUUAGAGAGUGAAGUCGGCUUUUUAUGCUAGGUGCAACUGGGAGUUCUGAACACGGCAAAGUUGGACAUUCCAAAGAUGGCGUAGAUGAACAUGACCAGGAAGAGCAGGAGGCCGAUGUUAAACAACGCAGGAAGGGACAUCAUCAAAGCAAAGAGCAGCGUGCGGAUCCCCUUUGCUCCUUUGACUAGACGUAGGAUUCGGCCAAUCCUGGCAAGACGGAUCACUCGGAACAGGGUAGCAGAGAUCUCUGGAGGUGAAACAUUGCUCUGAACUGGCAUUGAUUCUAGCCCAGCUCUUGUAGACCAAUUACCAACUUCUCCAUCUCCCUCCAGUGCCUGGAACUGGACCUGGCACACAGGCAAAGGGUUAUCAACUGUGCUGCACUCUGAGGAGCUUGACCGGUUUAAUCUCUAGAAAGGAAUUCACCACCCCACCAGCACGCGGAACACAAUCAGGAAGGAGUGGAAGAAGUCGUUCAUGUGCCACCGUGGGAGCGUACAGUCAUCAUUGAUCUUGCAGACACAUUCUUUGUAGCUCUUACCAAAGAGCUGCAUGCCGACCACAGCAAAAAUGAAGACGAUGAUGGCCAACACUAAGCCUUUAGACUAAAAAGAAAACAAAUAUUACAUACCCUGAAUCUGUGCUGAAACCACAAAGGAGAGCAUCUUUGGAUCCUUCCAAGUAAUAAAAAUAUUCUGUUGAAGAAGAAUUUGAACAGUUAUAACAUCACAGACUUUAAUCUGUGAUUGUGAUAAAGGAGGUCAAAUUAAAAAAUCUGAUUAUUGGGAGACUUUUGGAGUAAUCAUGGAAGAAAGACUAUGAAAUCAGAUAUUCUUGGAUUUGAAUGUUGCUUCUAUCCCUUCUUAACUUAAAUCCAUGGGCAUUCAUUAUCAUCAGUGCCUAACCUGGCAGAACCACAGUCUACACAUAAUCUGGCAUCUGUCUUUUCCAUGCUGGCUACCAAAUGGCUGAAUGUUGGUGGAGAAACUCUCACAACCAAGUGAAUGGUUAUAUUUUAAGUUUUAUUCAUUUUUAAACAAGAACUUGGAAAAAGUGUAAACCUAAUUGGCACUGCAUAGACUAUCCAUCCAAGUGCUGAGCAUGGAGGAAGAUGAUCAAUCUCAAUGAUGUCACAUACCUCUGAGUGGGAGAUAGUCUUUUUGAAAAAUUUAGUAUUUGCCUAUCAAUGACUAGCUUUCAUAUAGCUUCCAUUUUCCUUUAAAUACAGACAUUCCAUGCUGGAAAAAUCAGACCCCAGAGGUUUGCUGUUAUUGGAACACUGUGCUGCCUGAGAUUUUCAUAAAUUUGCCGUUUCAAAAAGCUGAAAGUACUUACGCAAAAACAAUGACGACAAAAUCCAGCCAGUUCCACGGGUCACGAAGAAAAGUGAAUUCUCCUACACAGAAGCCUCUUGCAAGGAUUUUUACAAGUGAUUCAAAAGUAUAUAUUCCAGUAAAAGUGUACCUAAACACAAGAUUCCAUUGGGAUACUAGAUGUGAAAAGAAUACAACCACCAUGUAAAUCUUUAUAACUUAUUUUCUCUAAUUAACCACUGGAAGACAUAUAUUGGAGGAUGGCUGUUGGGUUAUGGACACACCCUAUUAAACUACAAUAGGUCUAUCCAGAAAAUAUUAAAAUGUCAAUAUCAGAAACACUCCCAGAAAGCAGAGGUACUUGAAAUAACUAAGAAUAUAGGUCUCAGAUCUGCCUAAAAAUUUCCUACAUUGCUUCUAUCAAAAAUUCACCCAAUCAUUUAAAAAUACACCCAUAUAAUUAUAAAACAUACACCCAAGAAUAAAAUAUGUGUAACAUGUCUAAGAACAGGAUGGAGCAUCUGACAAGUUCAUUCUUUGAGAAAACACUGUAGCAUCUAAUUUUUCUAAUCUAGCAGGUUAAUAUCAUAGAGGAGGUAAAGAACAAAAGAAAAGCAAGCAUAUAACAUGGGAAGGUAAAGAUUCCCCAUCUUCAUAAAUGCAGUAACUUCCUGGCAGGAAAAGGAAAGGAUGAAAUGAUAAUACCAAAACUAUAUUAAAAUGUACUUAUACCCACUUACUCGACAUUUUUGGUCCAGUCCGGUGGGUUAUUCAUGGUCAUAAAUAUGCAGUUUGUCAGAAUAGUGCACAUGAUGAGCAUGCUGAAUAAGGUAGCUUAGAAUCAAGGAACAAAAGAGACGACAGUGGGAAUUUGAAAUAUUUGAGGAUGACACUUGUUGAAAUGCUUACAACUUUUCCUAAGAAAAAAAUUCUAAAUGAGCUUGUAGACUAUUUUGUCUCUUUGAACAAGAGAGUAAUAAAUAAAAGUAACAUAUCCUAAAAUCUUAAUAUUGCCACUCUCCCAGUCUUCUCUGA